GCCGAGGUGGCGGAAUGGCAGACGCGACGGACUUAAAAUCCGUUGGGCUUCGGCCCGUGCGGGUUCAAAUCCCGCCCUCGGCA
rnacentral:tRNA from 1 species